GCUUCUGUAGCUCAGUCGGUGGUAGCAUCCCUCUCAUAUUAUGACACAGGGGAAGGUCGUGAGUUCGAGCCUCACCAGGAGCA
rnacentral:tRNA from 2 species